rnacentral:misc_RNA from 1 species
UGGUUCUGGCAUCGAUGAAGAACGCAGCGAAAUGCGAUAAGUAAUGUGAAUUGCAGAAUUCAGUGAAUCAUCGAAUCUUUGAACGCACAUUGCGCCCGCUAGUAUUCUGGCGGGCAUGCCUGUUCGAGCGUCAUUUCAACCCUCAGGUCUCCGGCAUCAACGGCCGGAGCUCCUGGUGUUGGGGAUCCGGGACCGGCCCCGCGCGGGCCGGCGCCCGGACCCCGAAAUGCAGUGGCGGUCUCGCCGUAGCGUCCCCUGCGUAGUAGCAACACCUCGCACCGGAUCGCGGCGCGGCCACGCCGUAAAAUUGCGGGUUCGCCCGCACAUUUUCUCAAGGUUGACCUCGAAUCAGGUAGGAAUACCCGCUGA